AUCCAGCUGACAAGUCCCAAAUAGGACGAAACGUACUUCCUGGAU
rfam:Schistosoma rodhaini strain Burundi genome assembly, scaffold: SROB_scaffold0003254